AGCGAACGCUAGCGGCGGGCUUAACACAUGCAAGUCGAGCGGAGGGGCAACCCUUAGCGGCGGACGGGUGAGUAACACGUAGGUAACGUAUCCUCUGGUGGGGAAUAACCGUGGGAAACCAUGGCUAAUACCGCAUAUCGUAUGAAAGUAUGAAAGCCUUCGGGCGCCAGUUGAGCGGCCUGCGGCCCAUUAGUUAGUUGGCGGGGUAAUGGCCCACCAAGACGAUGAUGGGUAGCUGGUCUGAGAGGAUGAUCAGCCACACGUGGAACUGAGACACGGUCCAGACUCCUACGGGAGGCAGCAGUGGGGAAUAUUGCGCAAUGGGCGAAAGCCUGACGCAGCCACGCCGCGUGAGUGAUGAAGGCCUUCGGGUCGGUAAAACUACUGUCGGGAGGGGACGAAGGGGAAACGUACUGACGGUACCUCGCAAGAAAGCACCGGCUAACUCUGUGCCAGCAGCCGCGGUAAU
rnacentral:rRNA from 1 species